CUCCUACGGGAGGCAGCAGUGGGGAAUAUUGCACAAUGGGCGAAAGCCUGAUGCAGCCAUGCCGCGUGUGUGAAGAAGGCCUUCGGGUUGUAAAGCACUUUCAGUUGUGAGGAAAGGGACGUAGUUAAUAGCUGCAUUCUGUGACGUUAACAACAGAAGAAGCACCGGCUAACUUCGUGCCAGCAGCCGCGGUAAUA
rnacentral:rRNA from 1 species